UAUGCGCUGCAUUUGCCCGCUGUGCCUACCGGUAUUUAAUUACCUCAGGACAUAAGACUAAUAACUGUAUACUUCCACAGAAAUAUUCUGAAAUCAGGCUAGAGCGACUGGUUCCAUGGUUUCUACGGCUCGCGCGAUUUCGAGAGCACUUUUUAGAACUGUGCUCUAGUGCUGCUGUUGAAAGAUUCUGUCUUAUUCUUCAUGGAAUAGGUAAAUUUACCUUUAUCGCAAAACGUGAAUCUUAUCUUUGAUAAAAACCAUAUUGAGACCAUGCAGCCCGAAUCAAAAUCGACGGACUGUAUAGAGACGUGGACGCUUCCAGUUGGAAUUUACGAGAGUUACUAUGAUAACAACAGUGAAGCGUUUUUCUUGGACAUUGGAUACCGGCCAGAUUUAGCGAAGACCCUGGCUCAAAACGUUAAUCAUCUAACACUCCGCCACGGCUCGGCAGCGGCCAACCACUACAUUCUGGAGGUGACGGUGCUGAACACCGACAUACCACCCUGGCAAACGCCCAUACAAUUUGGAUGCCAAAGGUCACAGUCGCACGGUGCACCAGCUGGGCGGUGGAAUCAACGGCGCCGCCUCGCUCAACACAAUCACCAAUACCUUUCAAUGGGAUGAUGACCAGCAGGAUUUGUACCGCGUCUGCGAGAAAAGUGAUGGAGUUAUUUAUUACGUACAUUAUACGUUCUGCAACGGCGGAAGUGUACUUGUGAAUACUCGUCAGGGCCCAACAAAGAGUGCGGAAGUGAGAUUCAAGCGCAUUCAGUGAUGGAUACAUUAAUUUUCGCAGCUGAAUUCCUGUAUAUUGCAUUUGCAAACUGUACUCGAUAUUUGCUCGUCAUUUGCUCAUGUGCCAACGUGGGGAACACUUUGAAAAUACUUCUAUAGAUAUAAGAUUAGUCGCUAUCACAUUUGGGCAAAAAACCUUCGUCAGUUAAUUCAAGUAUCUGUACAUUCAUAAAUAGUUUUCGUGAGAGCGCGCUUUUCACUUGAAUUUAAUAGUGUAAUUUUAUGUAAUGUCAUUUUUGUGCACUUUGCUGAUUCGUGUAAGCGUAAUCUGAUGGUAUCACAGAACUCUUGGCAUUUUCACUGUUUAUAUGUGCCUCUCUAUAGAGCCCUUAAUAAAGUGCAAAAUACAGAUACACGCUGUUGUUAAACGUUUGUUUGUUAAACGUUUCUAGAUUUAUUUAAUUUGAAAACAAAUUAAAUCUUGGGUUUGUAUUAAACGUACGUAGGCCUACCGUUUCAUAAAAUUAAUUGCUAUGUUGUUGUUUUUUGUCGUCAGAUUGUACUCGCAGAUACCCAAGUACUUGUUAUGCCGAAAGCGCUCGUAAACAGCUUAUAACUGC